rnacentral:misc_RNA from 1 species
AGCUGUAUUUCCUUUAACUACUCUCAGAGAUAUAGUGAAAAUAUUUGACUGUAGUGUGUUAUAGGGAGUGACAAUACUGAUCCAGUACAGAUCAUGAAUUAAUUUCACAAUGGAACCUGAAGAAUAUUCAACUUUGUGCAUCUUUUGUUUGCAUACCUUUCUACUUCUGUUUUAAGUUUACAGGUAAAAUUCCUAUUUAGUCAU